rnacentral:rRNA from 1 species
GAUGAACGCUGGCGGCGUGCCUAAAACAUGCAAGUCGAGCGAACGGACGAGAAGCUUGCUUCUCUGAUGUUAGCGGCGGACGGGUGAGUAACACGUGGAUCACCUACCUAUAAGACUGGGAUAACUUCGGGAAACCGUAGCUAAUACCGGAUAAUAUUUUGAACCGCAUGGUUCAAAAGUGAAAGACGGUCUUGCUGUCACUUAUAGAUGGAUCCGCGGUGCAUUAGUUAUUUGGUAAGGUCACGGCUUACCAAGGCAACGAUGCAUAGCGGACCUGAGAGGAUGAUCAGCAAAAGUGGAACUGAGACACGGCCCAGACUCGUAAGGGAGGCAGCAGUGGGGAAUAUUGGACAAGGGGCGAAAGCCUGAUACAGCCAUACCGCGUGGGUGAAGAAGGACUUCGGGUUGUAAAGCCCUUUUGUUGGGAAAGAAAAGCAGCAGGUUAAUACCACGAUGUUCUGACGGUACCCAAAGAAUAAGCACAGGCUAACUUCGUG